UUUUUCGUUAUUUUUUGUUGA
rnacentral:piRNA from 1 species